AUCAUCUGGGGGUCUUGUUAAAAUGCAGAUUCUGAUGCAGCAGGUCUGGGGUGAAGCCGCAGAUUCUGCAUUUCUAACAAGCUCCCAGGUGCUGGUCU
rnacentral:pre_miRNA from 1 species